rnacentral:pre_miRNA from 1 species
UUAACUCAAAUUUGUAUGGAGUUGGAACAGCGCCCCUAGCGGCAAACGGCGGGAAGCUGUUCCAACUCCAUACAAAAUUGAGUUA